rnacentral:rRNA from 1 species
ACGAACGCUGGCGGCGUGGAUAAGACAUGCAAGUCGAACGGGAGAAUUGCUAGCUUGCUAAUAAUUCUCUAGUGGCGCACGGGUGAGUAACACGUGAGUAACCUGCCUCUUAGUGGGGGAUAGCCCUGGGAAACCGGGAUUAAUACCGCAUACGAUUGAAAGAUCAAAGCAGCAAUGCGCUAGGAGAUGGGCUCGCGGCCUAUUAGUUAGUUGGUGAGGUAACGGCUCACCAAGGCGAUGACGGGUAGCCGGUCUGAGAGGAUGUCCGGCCACACUGGAACUGAGACACGGUCCAGACACCUACGGGUGGCAGCAGUCGAGAAUCAUUCACAAUGGGGGCAACCCUGAUGGUGCGACGCCGCGUGGGGGAAUGAAGGUCUUCGGAUUGUAAACCCCUGUCAUGUGGGAGCAAAUUAAAAAGAUAGUACCACAAGAGGAAGAGACGGCUAACUCUGUGCCAGCAGCCGCGGUAAUACAGAGGUCUCAAGCGUUGUUCGGAAUCACUGGGCGUAAAGCGUGCGUAGGCUGUUUCGUAAGUCGUGUGUGAAAGGCAGGGGCUCAACCCCUGGAUUGCACAUGAUACUGCGAGACUAGAGUAAUGGAGGGGGAACCGGAAUUCUCGGUGUAGCAGUGAAAUGCGUAGAUAUCGAGAGGAACACUCGUGGCGAAGGCGGGUUCCUGGACAUUAACUGACGCUGAGGCACGAAGGCCAGGGGAGCGAAAGGGAUUAGAUACCCCUGUAGUCCUGGCAGUAAACGGUGCACGCUUGGUGUGCGGGGAAUCGACCCCCUGCGUGCCGGAGCUAACGCGUUAAGCGUGCCGCCUGGGGAGUACGGUCGCAAGAUUAAUACUCAAAGAAAUUGACGGGGACCCGCACAAGCGGUGGAGUAUGUGGCUUAAUUCGAUGCAACGCGAAGAACCUUACCUGGGCUUGACAUGUAAUGAACAACAUGUGAAAGCAUGCGACUCUUCGGAGGCGUUACACAGGUGCUGCAUGGCCGUCGUCAGCUCGUGUCGUGAGAUGUUUGGUUAAGUCCAGCAACGAGCGCAACCCCUGUUGCCAGUUACCAGCACGUCAAGGUGGGGACUCUGGCGAGACUGCCCAGAUCAACUGGGAGGAAGGUGGGGACGACGUCAGGUCAGUAUGGCCCUUAUGCCCAGGGCUGCACACGUACUGCAAUGCCCGGUACAGAGGGGGCCGAAGCCGCGAGGCGGAGGAAAUCCUGAAAACUGGGCCCAGUUCGGACUGUAGGCUGCAACCCGCCUACACGAAGCCGGAAUCGCUAGUAAUGGCGCAUCAGCUACGGCGCCGUGAAUACGUUCCCGGGUCUUGUACACACCGCCCGUCACAUCAUGGAAGCCGGUCGCACCCGAAGUAUCUGAAGCCAACCGCAAGGAGGCAGGGUCCUAAGGUGAGACUGGUAACUGGGAUG